rnacentral:rRNA from 1 species
UGCAGUCGAGCGAAUCGAUGGGAGCUUGCUCCCUGAGAUUAGCGGCGGACGGGUGAGUAACACGUGGGCAACCUGCCUAUAAGACUGGGAUAACUUCGGGAAACCGGAGCUAAUACCGGAUACGUUCUUUUCUCGCAUGAGAGAAGAUGGAAAGACGGUUUACGCUGUCACUUAUAGAUGGGCCCGCGGCGCAUUAGCUAGUUGGUGAGGUAAUGGCUCACCAAGGCGACGAUGCGUAGCCGACCUGAGAGGGUGAUCGGCCACACUGGGACUGAGACACGGCCCAGACUCCUACGGGAGGCAGCAGUAGGGAAUCUUCCGCAAUGGACGAAAGUCUGACGGAGCAACGCCGCGUGAACGAAGAAGGCCUUCGGGUCGUAAAGUUCUGUUGUUAGGGAAGAACAAGUACCAGAGUAACUGCUGGUACCUUGACGGUACCUAACCAGAAAGCCACGGCUAACUACGUGCCAGCAGCCGCGGUAAUACGUAGGUGGCAAGCGUUGUCCGGAAUUAUUGGGCGUAAAGCGCGCGCAGGUGGUUCCUUAAGUCUGAUGUGAAAGCCCACGGCUCAACCGUGGAGGGUCAUUGGAAACUGGGGAACUUGAGUGCAGAAGAGGAAAGUGGAAUUCCA